rnacentral:rRNA from 1 species
UACGUAGGGUCCAAGCGUUGUCCGGAUUUAUUGGGCGUAAAGAGCUCGUAGGCGGUUCGGUAAGUCGGAUGUGAAAACUCAGGCUCAACCCCGAGACGCCAUCCGAUACUGCUGUGACUUGAAUCUGGUAGGGGAGCACGGAAUUCCUGGUGUAGCGGUGAAAUGCGCAGAUAUCAGGAGGAACACCGGCGGCGAAGGCGGUGCUCUGGGCCAGUAUUGACGCUGAGGAGCGAAAGCGUGGGUAGCAAACAGG